UAGGGAAUCUUCGGCAAUGGACGGAAGUCUGACCGAGCAACUCCGCGUGAGUGAAGAAGGUUUUCGGAUCGUAAAGCUCUUUUGUUAGAGAAGAACGUUGGUAGGAGUGGAAAAUCUACCAAGUGACGGUAACUAACCAGAAAGGGACGGCUAACUACGUGCCAGCAGCCGCGGUAAUACGUAGGUCCCGAGCGUUGUCCGGAUUUAUUGGGCGUAAAGCGAGCGCAGGCGGUUCUUUAAGUCUGAAGUUAAAGGCAGUGGCUUAACCAUUGUACGCUUUGGAAACUGGAGGACUUGAGUGCAGAAGGGGAGAGUGGAAUUCCAUGUGUAGCGGUGAAAUGCGUAGAUAUAUGGAGGAACACCGGUGGCGAAAGCGGCUCUCUGGUCUGUAACUGACGCUGAGGCUCGAAAGCGUGGGGAGCAAACAGG
rnacentral:rRNA from 1 species